rnacentral:rRNA from 1 species
UGGAGAAAAGCAGGGGAUCGUAAGACCUUGCGCUUUUGGAGCGGCCGAUGCCUGAUUAGCUAGUUGGUGGGGUAAAGGCUUACCAAGGCAACGAUCAGUAGUUGGUCUGAGAGGACGGCCAGCCACACUGGGACUGAGACACGGCCCAGACUCCUACGGGAGGCAGCAGUGGGGAAUUUUGGACAAUGGGCGCAAGCCUGAUCCAGCAAUGCCGCGUGAGUGAAGAAGGCCUUCGGGUUGUAAAGCUCUUUCAGUCGAGAAGAAAAGAUUGUGACGAAUAAUCACAAUUCAUGACGGUAUCGACAGAAGAAGCACCGGCUAACUACGUGCCAGCAGCCGCGGUAAUACGUAGGGUGCAAGCGUUAAUCGGAAUUACUGGGCGUAAAGGGUGCGCAGGCGGCUUUGUAAGUCAGAUGUGA